rnacentral:rRNA from 1 species
CAUGUCCUUUUGUUAUAAAUUUAAGGUUUAACCUGCCCAAUGAUUAUUUAAAUGGCCGCAGUAUUUUGACUGUGCAAAGGUAGCAUAAUAAUUAGUUUUUUAAUUGAAAGCUGGAAUGAAUGGUUGGACGAGAAAAUUUCUGUCUCUUUUUUAUUGUUGUAGAAUUUAAUUUUUAAGUAAUAAAGCUUAAAUAAUUUAAUAAGACGAGAAGACCCUAUAGAGUUUUAUAUUUUUAGAAAUUUAAGUUUUUAGAAUUUAUUAUUAAGUUUGAUUAGAAUAUUUUAUUGGGGCGAUAAAUAGAUAAAAUUAACUCUUUUUUAUACAUAAAACUAGUAAGUAAAUUUUUGAUCCAUAUUUUUUGAUUAUAAGAUUAAAUUACCUUAGGGAUAACAGCGUUAUUUUUUUUUAGAGUUCUGAUCGACAAAAGAAAUUGCGACCUCGAUGUUGGAUUAAAGAUAAUUUUAGGUGCAAAAGCUUAAAUUUUAGGUCUGUUCGACCUUUAAAACUUUACAUGAUCUGAGU